rnacentral:tRNA from 1 species
GGGCUCGUGGUGUAGCUUGGUCUAGCAUUGGAGCUUCGGGAGCUUCCGACCCCUGUUCAAACCGGGCUUCCUUAGAAAGAAAGCACGGCUGCAAACCGUGAUUCGUCAGGGCGAGCCCACCA